rnacentral:rRNA from 1 species
UAACACGUGAGCAACCUACCUUCGAGUUGGGGAUAGCCCUGGGAAACCAGGAUUAAUACCCGAUGUGGCUCCGGUGCGGCAUCGCACUGGAAGUAAAGGCGCAAGUCGCUCGAAGAUGGGCUCGCGGCCUAUUAGCUUGUUGGUGGGGUAAUGGCCUACCAAGGCGGUGAUGGGUAGCUGGUCUGAGAGGACGAUCAGCCACACUGGGACUGAGACACGGCCCAG